CUCAUGUAUAAGUCGAGGGCAGUUUUGUGACCAACAAUUGUGAAAUAUGCUAUGCCUCAUGGAUAAGUCGAGGGUAAAACUUGGAGCUAUGAAAUUCUGUGAUUUUUAGAAUUAUAUACACACACACACUCAUACAAACACACACACUGCAUUAUACACACACACACUCAUACAAACAAUCUGCAUUCUACACACACACUCAUACAAACACACACACACUCUGCAUUAUAUACGCACACACACU
rnacentral:lncRNA from 1 species